GAUGAACGCUGGCGGCGUGCCUAAUACAUGCAAGUCGAGCGAACAGACGAGGCGCUUGCUCCUCUGACGUUAGCGGCGGACGGGUGAGUAACACGUGGAUAACCUCCCUAUAAGACUGGGAUAACUUCGGGACACCGGAGCUAAUCCCGGAUAAUCUAUUGAACCGCAUGGUUCAAUAGUGAAAGACGGUUUUGCUGUCACUUAUAGAUGGAUCCGCGCCGCAUUAGCUAGUUGGUAAGGUAACGGCUUACCAAGGCAACGAUGCGUAGCCGACCUGAGAGGGUGAUCGGCCACACUGGAACUGAGACACGGUCCAGACUCCUACGGGAGGCAGCAGUAGGGAAUCUGCCGCAAUGGGCGAAAGCUUGACGGAGCAACGCCGCGUGAGUGAUGAAGGUCUUCGGAUCGUAAAACUCUGUUAUUAGGGAAGAACAAAUGUGUAAGUAACUAUGCACGUCUUGACGGUACCUAAUCAGAAAGCCACGGCUAACUACGUG
rnacentral:rRNA from 1 species